GCGGGUGUGGUGGAAUUGGCAGACACGCAAGAUUUAGGUUCUUGUGGCAAUACCGUGCAGGUUCAAGUCCUGUCACCCGCACCA
rnacentral:tRNA from 1 species